rnacentral:rRNA from 1 species
GAAUCUAGCUCUAGGUCGGGGACAACCACUGGAAACGGUGGCUAAUACCGGAUAUGCCGUGAGGUAAAAGGCUUGCUGCCUAGAGAUGAGCUCGCGUCUGAUUAGCUAGUAGGUGUGGUAAGAGCGCACCUAGGCGACGAUCAGUAGCUGGUCUGAGAGGAUGAUCAGCCACACUGGGACUGAGACACGGCCCAGACUCCUACGGGAGGCAGCAGUGGGGAAUUUUCCGCAAUGGGCGAAAGCCUGACGGAGCAAUACCGCGUGAGGGAGGAAGGCUCUUGGGUUGUAAACCUCUUUUCUCAGGGAAUAAUAAUGAAGGUACCUGAGGAAUAAGCAUCGGCUAACUCCGUGCCAGCAGCCGCGGUAAUACGGAGGAUGCAAGCGUUAUCCGGAAUGAUUGGGCGUAAAGGGUCCGCAGGUGGUUCUGAAAGUCUGCUGUUAAAGAGUGAGGCUUAACCUCAUAAAAGCAGUGGAAACUACAAAGCUAGAGUGCGUUCGGGGUAGCAGGAAUUCCUGGUGUAGCGGUGAAAUGCGUAGAGAUCAGGAAGAACACCGGUGGCGAAAGCGUGCUACUAGGCCGUAACUGACACUGAGGGACGAAAGCUAGGGGAGCG